AUGUGCGGGAACCUGUCAUCGAUCUCUUCAAACUUCUGGUGGGGUGCAGUGAAUGGUGAAAGGAAGGUACACUGUAUUGCAUGGGACAAGAUGUGCACUAGGAAGCAUGAAGGAGGUCUUGGGUUUUGUGAUCCGGAAGCAUUCAACCAAGCUCUGCUAGCAAAGCAGGCGUGGCGUAUUUUGCAGGUUCCAUCAUCGCUGUGUGCGAGGGUACUAAAAGCUAGAUAUUUCAGAGAUGGCUCAAUUCUGAAUGCUACCUGUCCGGGAGGAGGAUCUUUCACUUUCAGAAGUAUUCUCCAUGGCCGAAAU
rnacentral:rRNA from 1 species